UAAGACCAAAGAUAUCUUCGAUGAUUUUGAGCUUAAUUAGAUUGAAUGCUUAUGAGUGCGGGCAGGGACGAAGCUAGCAUUCGAUUACGAGGGGGGCCAAAAUACAUACAAAUUAAAAUUCUAGCAAACAAACAAGAUUUACCUAGUUAAAUUUUUGCUGAGAAAAUAUAUUGACUAAAUAAUUAGUGUAAAAAGGCAUUACCCUUUUUUUAUUUAUACUUAACUUCUAAUUAUUUUAUUUAUAUUAUUUCACUCAAAUAACUUUGAAAUUUACUAAAUCUAAUAGUAAUUCAGUGAAUGAUUUAAUUUCUUAAUUUUUACUAAAUAUAAUUGUGACGAUAAAUAACUAUUAGUUAACAAAGCUAUUAACUUUAAUAUAAUUUUUAAUUUAAUUAAAUAAAAAAAUUUAUCUAAAAUAAUUAGAAAUUAUGAAGGUACUAAAUAAAAAAUAAAAAUAAACUCAAAGUUGAGAGAGUAUUAUAUUAGCGCCAAAAUUUUUUUUAAAAAAAACAGGUUACUCAUCAUACUUUUAAAAUUAAAUAAUUUUUUUUAUUUUUUAUAUAUAAAGGACUAUUGUGUAAAUUAUAAAAAUGUUGGAGGGGCCAUGGCCCCCCUCAGCCCCUCAAUAGCUCCGUCCCUGAGUGCGGGAAUAAGAUAAACUAUUUAGCCUCCAUUUUGUUCGGGGUUAAGGGGUGGAAUAACCCCUUAAUCCCGAAGUUAUUUUCAAACACCCAAUUUGUGGGGUGGGGUUAGCUUAACCCCACCCCACCCCAGCCCACUACUCUAACCAAACAAAAUACUAUUUUACCCACUAUCCUUUUUAUCCCACCUACUCCAAUCAAACACUAUUUUUUUUAAUUCUGGAUUAACUCCAACCGCCAUCUAGACAUAAAAAAUAUUCUAAUCCCACCUUAAUUCUAAACUUAACCCUAUCCCUAAAAUAACUAGUUUUUUCUUAACCCUAAACCAAACGGUAGCUUAGAGUUGAACAUAACAGCGAUUUAAUACGACUAAUAGCAUAAUGAUUUGAUAUUCUAGGUAGGAUAAUGGCAUUUGGGAGACCUUCACGAAUUCUCUUAAUGCUAGAUUAUCCAUUCAAAACUUAUUAAAUAAAUUUCAAAACUCUUAUUAUCUUUAUUUUAUUAAACUUCAAGAUUCAUAAAAUAAAAAAUU
rnacentral:lncRNA from 1 species